GGUGACUCAGUGGUAAAGCACUUGCCUUGCAUGCAUGAGGCCCUGGGUUCAAUUCCUAGCACCA
rnacentral:tRNA from 1 species